rnacentral:rRNA from 1 species
GGGGAAUAUUGCACAAUGGGGGAAACCCUGAUGCAGCGACGCCGCGUGGAGGAAGAAGGUCUUCGGAUUGUAAACUCCUGUUGUUGGGGAAGAUAAUGACGGUACCCAACAAGGAAGUGACGGCUAACUACGUGCCAGCAGCCGCGGUAAAACGUAGGUCACAAGCGUUGUCCGGAAUUACUGGGUGUAAAGGGAGCGCAGGCGGGAAGACAAGUUGGAAGUGAAAUCUAUGGGCUCAACCCAUAAACUGCUUUCAAAACUGUUUUUCUUGAGUAGUGCAGAGGUAGGCGGAAUUCCCGGUGUAGCGGUGGAAUGCGUAGAUAUCGGGAGGAACACCAGUGGCGAAGGCGGCCUACUGGGCACCAACUGACGCUGAGGCUCGAAAGUGUGGGUAGCAAAC